rnacentral:rRNA from 1 species
GACGAACGCUGGCGGCGUGCUUAACACAUGCAAGUCGAACGAUGAAGCUGGAGCUUGCUCCGGUGGAUUAGUGGCGAACGGGUGAGUAACACGUGAGCAAUCUGCCCUUGACUCUGGGAUAACUGCGGGAAACUAUAGCCAAUACCGGAUACGAGGCUCGAAGGCAUCUUCGGGUCUGGAAAGAAUUUCGGUCAAGGAUGAGCUCGCGGCCUAUCAGCUUGUUGGUGAGGUAAUGGCUCACCAAGGCGACGACGGGUAGCCGGCCUGAGAGGGUGAGCGGCCACACUGGGACUAAGACACGGCCCAGACUCCUACGGGAGGCAGCAGUGGGGAAUAUUGCACAAUGGGCGAAAGCCUGAUGCAGCAACGCCGCGUGAGGGAUGAAGGCCUUCGGGUUGUAGACCUCUUUUAGCAGGGAAGAAGCGAAAGUGACGGUACCUGCAGAAAAAGCACCGGCUAACUACGUGCCAGCCGCCGCCGUAA